UACGUAGGGGGCAAGCGUUGUCCGGAUUUAUUGGGCGUAAAGAGCGUGUAGGCGGCCAGACAGGUCCGCUGUGAAAACUCGAGGCUCAACCUCGAGACGCCGAUGGAAACCCUCCAGCUAGAGUCCGGAAGAGGAGAGUGGAAUUCCUGGUGUAGCGGUGAAAUGCGCAGAUAUCAGGAAGAACACCCGUGGCUAAGGCGGCUCUCUAGUACGGUACUGACGCUGAGACGCGAAAGCGUGGGGAGCGAACAGG
rnacentral:rRNA from 1 species